UAAAACCCUAGUAUAUGCAAUUCCCCCUUAUCCAAAACCCAUACUCUCUCGAAACAGGGUUCUAAUGGCAGUGCUAUCUCCUCCUUGUCCUCUGCAACUCUUUGUUCGAUUCAGCUCUUUCCAACCCAUUCAUCUCUCUCCCUCCUUUCAAUCUUUGCCACAACGCCAACAACGCUGCUCCUCGUAUAGUACCAAUGCAGCCACCAAUUCAAUUGCUUCUACCUCCAAAGCCUCUGCCACCACUGCUUCGCCUUCCUUCGCCACCAGAGAAGACCUUGACGCCGUCAACAUCGCCGACGACGUCACCCAGCGGGUUUGGAUCUUCUGUGCAACAAGUAUUUGGAGGAAGCUAGAAUCAUCUUCAGAAGCAUUUAUGCUCUCAUUGAAUUUCAGAUUUAUGUUUUUUUGGAGAAUUGUUUUGUAUUUUAAUUUGAUUGGGCAAACACCGAUGAUAUAUCUCAACAAAGUUACAAAGGGCUGUGUGGCAAAUAUUGCUGCAAAACUUGAAUCUAUGGAGCCUUGCCGAAGUGUCAAGGAUAGAAUUGGUUAUAGUAUGAUAUCUGAUGCAGAAGAAAGUGGUGCAAUUUCUCCUGGGAAGAGCAUACUAGUUGAACCGACUAGUGGAAAUACAGGACUUGGUAUUGCUUUCGUUGCAGCAACCAAGGGAUACAAAGUCAUUGUCACCAUGCCUGCAUCCAUCAAUCUUGAAAGACGGGUUCUUCUUCGUGCAUUUGGAGCAGAGAUUGUUUUGACAGACCCAAUGAAAGGAAUAAAAGGGGCUGUUGAUAAAGCUGAAGAAAUUGUAUUGAGCAUGCCAAAUGCAUACAUGUUUAAACAGUUUGACACUAUUUCUAAUGCAAAGUUCAUUGAACUACAGGUCCACUUUGAAACCACAGGCCCAGAAAUAUGGGAGGAUACCAUGGGUAGCGUUGACAUCUUUGUUGCGGGAAUUGGAACUGGUGGAACUGUUACAGGCACUGGGCGCUAUUUGAAAAUGAUGAACAAAGGUAUCAAGGUUGUUGGAGUGGAACCUGCAGAAAGGAAUGUAAUAUCUGGAGAAAACCCAGGUUAUAUUCCUAGUAUUUUGGAUGUUAAUUUACUUGACGAGGUUUUGAAGAUUACCAAUGAUGAAGCUGUUGAAAUGGCAAGAAGGUUGGCAUUGGAGGAAGGUUUACUGGUUGGUAUAUCAUCAGGAGCUGCAGCUGUUGCUGCCGUAAACAUGGCAAAAAGGCCCGAGAAUGCUGGAAAACUCAUUGUUUAGUGCAGAAGGUAGGCAACUAUGUCAGAGUUGGAAACUUUGUUCUUUUGCUUUCCACAUCCAAUCGCUUAAUGCUGGUGGAAGAAAGCAGGAUUUCCUUUGGACUGGUAUUGGAGAAGAAUUAAAGUACAAUUUGGUGGAUUGGGGGCUUGCAAUCCUAUAUGAAGGCAACAUGCAAUGGUGAGUUGAUGCUGUCCUUGUGGUGUAGAACCAGAGAAGGAAGAUGGAAAGAAGAGGAAAGAAAGAGAGAAUGUAGAAAUUCUUCUGAACCUCCAAUAAAUUUCAUUACCCUCGAGCCUUGUAUAUGAGCAGACCAAAUUAAAUUGACAAUCCAAUAUGUUGUAUUUCCAAGCUUUGGUGAGAGGUAUAUUUCCACUGUUCUUUUUCAGUCUAUUCAUGAUGAAGUCAGAGAAAUGCAACAAAGAUAGUGUUCAACUUUGCUCACUUUUUUCAUUUAAAAGGCACAUUAAUCCAGAGAUAGCUUUCGAUGGAAUGAGAAAGACUGUUGUUUGAUCAAAGUGUUGAUGAGAAUGUUGUUCAAGUUCUGGUUGCCAAUGAGCUGCUUUUACCAUGCGCUUUCGUUCAUUGUGUGGCAAAGAAUUAGACAUAAAGAGGUGAAGAGUCGGCUUUCAACAACGGAGUCGAUCUAGCAGAAAGUUGUAUAUUAUGCUAAUAGUGAUACAUUUGCAAAGAGUUUGAAUCCAUACUCUUAUUGAUGAAUUAGAAGAUUUUGACAUCAUUUGUUUCAAUGGAAAUUACUUCCGGGUGGAGAACUCGAAUUCUCAGUUUAAGGGAAAAUUUUCUGGUAGGAAGAGGAAAAAUUUGCAAAAAAUUCUGAUAUUUUCACAUUGUUUUUAGUUGCUGCUUCAAUUAUUAUUUUUGCCAUA